AUACGUAGGGCAAGGCUGCGGGUUGCACACCGCCACGAGCUCCGGGAGCGCCGCCAGUGGGCAGUCGUCCAGACCGACUCCCCACGGUCCGCGGUUGGCCGCACGCUGACAGACGACGGGACGAAGGGUUAUCCCGCCGCCGCACGCGGCGCUGCAGGCGGACCAAUUUCCUACCUGUCAAUCGUGAUGUAGCCGGCGGCCAGUAGCCGUUCAGGCGUGGAUGCAGGAAGGUAAGGACGAGCAAGUGAGGACGGGUAAGCAAGUUUCGUGUGGCUUCUGCAUGAAGAAUGGAACAACCGCGGAAAGGGACAGGCAGCAAGUACACAUACACACACAUGCACACACAGGGCCGCCGCACCGCAGCCCGGCCACAGCCCACCCUCUUUCCCCCCGCUCCACCUGCAGCCGAUAUCUUGUUCUUGGAGGACUGGACCCCGGAGGGAAGGGCCCCGUCAUGGCGGCAUCCAUCGCCAGGAGGUCCCAGCCAGAGCGCUGCGCCGCCGCCACCGGCAGCGCCACAGCGCCUGGAGGAGCCCGCCCCAGGACUGCAGCCGCCGCAGCCGCCGCGGAUGCGGAUGUGCUGUUGCUCGUUGCGCGGUCGGCAGCGGCAGCAGGAGAAACCGAUGACAGCCGCAAGGCCAUCGCUGCUGAUGCGGUGGCUGCGGCUGUAGUGUUCCGCAGGCCGAAUCGCACGGCGCAGUUCUGCUGCUGCUGCUGCCGUUGGCCCCCUCCCAGGCAGGUGGCCUCGGCGGCCAGGUCAGCUCGCGGCAGGGCGUAGUUGUACACUCGCGCGGACAGCAGGGUGCCGUACAGACCUGAGGAUCCCCCCAGGAGGCUGGAUGGAAGGUGGAGGGGCCCGCCAGGACGCCGUGCGUGCGUGCGUG
rnacentral:lncRNA from 1 species